UAUCUUCCUCGAAAAACUAAAAUUUAAAUUUCAAACUAGUUAUUUGUAAUUUUUUUUAAUUAAUACUUUUAUUUCCUAUAUUUGUGGCUGAUUGAUUAUACGUAUAUAGAGAGAUAUGUAUAUUUUAUGAAAUAAAAAUUUGAAAAUAUUAAAUAGUUUUUUUAUCAUUAAUUUUUAUUAUAUUUCCUACUUUACACGGUUAGGAAAAAUAAAAAAUAAAUUUACAUUUUAUAAUUAAUGGUUGUUGUUUCCUAAAUAUGUGGUUAUAGUUAAGUAAAAUAUUUUUUAAUUAUUAAAAAAUUGAAUAUGCAUAUAUAUAAUAGGUUAGUUUUUUAAAUUAUGUUAAAGAUAUUUGUAUUAUUGACCCAUACAUAGGAAUCAGUUUUGUUGAGUCAUAUAUUUGAAUUUGGCUGUAAUCACUCUAACCCACCAAAGCAAAACUUGAUCGGAACAUAAACAAAAAUCAUGCACUCUCUCUCUUUGGGUCCGCACUCUCUCUCUCUCUCUCUCUAGGCUUUAGCCCUCUCUCUCUCUCUCUUGAUCAUCUUCUUACUGAGCUCUCUUUCUUUGUUUGUGGAGAGAGUCACUCUCCCUAUGGUUUCUCUCCCAAAAAGAAUAUAUUCUUUGCUUUAUAGUUUUUAGUAGGUGGGUUUGAUUUUUUUAUCUCUAAAACUCCAUAGAAGAUGCAAAAGUUCCCCUCCAACUCCAGGCCAUUAAACUAAAAUUCCCAUUUGAUUUAAAGCUCUAUCUUUUUUUUCUCUAUCUCUCACUCAAAAAUCAAUCUUGAAGCUUGAGAAGAAGAACAAAGUAUUCUUCUUCUUUAUGCUUCUUACUUAGUAUUUUUGUGCUCCUUUUUUGGUUCUGUGGUGUACAAACAGAAUCCUAUAAACUUGGUUAUAGUUUUAGACAUUCAAAGCAAGAAACAUAAUUUUUAUGUCAAAGAUGAGUUUGAAAAGUCCACAAGGAUUUUGGUUUUUCGUUCACUUGUAUUGUCAAAUAGUUGUUAUUGAAUGUGUAUAAAGAAUUAUUCAAGAUUCAAGAAGCAAAGGCUGCUUAUUUCUGUAAGGUUUAAAGUUUUACUAGUUGUGGCUAUUUACAGUCACCAAUUGAUUAAUAUAGAGGAAUGCAUAUAUGUAGUUUAUUUCUCUUGUACCAAAAUUUUACAUGCUUUUCAUUGUUUGUGUCUGGAGAAGAAUUUACAAGCAUGGUGAAAGUGGGAAAGGUUGUGAUGGCAGCAGUACAGCUCCUCCAUGCACUGGGCAGAAGUCUUCGGAUUUUGAUUCUUCAAAAAAAAUUGUGGUGGAGUAGGAAAGGAGAGAGGUUUUAUUUAUGAAAUAGAAUGGCUGAUCCCUGAAGUGGAGUUCGACGAUCAAAGAGGGUUAAUAAUGUGCAAGACAAUCCUGCUGUUUUAGUUCCACCUGCUUGCCCAGGUACCAGAAUAGCCAGCAGAGGAAGAGGGAGAGGCUUUAGAGCUAUGAAUCAAGGUAAAAAUGUUAAGCUGACUAGUGCUGGAAUCGACGCUCAUGGAAAUACUGGUUUAGACUUGCCAGUAGGAAAUUUAAUUUCUGUUUGUGAGCUAGGAGUUCAGAAAAGUGCAGAAAAACUAGUUGUUGCUGACGAUGAAGGAAGCACAAGUCCGCUUCCUGAGAGGGUGCAGAUUGGCAAUUCUCCACUGUACAAGUUAGAUAGAAAGCUGGGGAAGGGGGGUUUUGGACAAGUAUUCGUGGGAAGAAGAGUGGCUGGUGGUAUCGCUGGAACUGGGCCUGAUGCCUUUGAGGUUUUACCCCCUCCCGCAUGUUUCACUCUUGUGCAGUUAUUAAGGAAGUUUGUUAUGUUGCUAAUGGCAAUCCCAUUAACCUUUUGUGGGUUGCUUUGAAGUUAGAGCAUAAAAAUAGUAAAGGCUUCAGUCACGGUCCUCCAUAUGAGUGGCAAGUGUACAGGAAUGAUUGUUGUUGGAAUGAAAAGAGCCUUCAAGAGGGAGCAUGAAGUGGAAUUGCUGCCAACUUUUAUAUAUGUAAAUAUGAACUAAAAGUACAAUUUUUGACAUGUGUAUAGAUUUUUGUAUUAUGUUUUAUAUUGAUUUUGUACUAAAUUUUUUUUUUUUAAGGUUGUAUUUUGUUUAUCUAUUUUAUAAAAAUUAAUUUUGAUAUUUUA